rnacentral:rRNA from 1 species
GAUGAACGCUGGCGGCGUGCCUAAUACAUGCAAGUCGAGCGAACGGACGAGAAGCUUGCUUCUCUGAUGUUAGCGGCGGACGGGUGAGUAACACGUGGAUAACCUACCUAUAAGACUGGGAUAACUUCGGGAAACCGGAGCUAAUACCGGAUAAUAUUUUGAACCGCAUGGUUCAAAAGUGAAAGACGGUCUUGCUGUCACUUAUAGAUGGAUCCGCGCUGCAUUAGCUAGUUGGUAAGGUAACGGCUUACCAAGGCAACGAUGCAUAGCCGACCUGAGAGGGUGAUCGGCCACACUGGAACUGAGACACGAUCCAGAUUCCUACGGAAGGCAGCAGUAGGGAAUCUUCCGCAAAGGGCGAAAGCCUGACGGUGCAACGCCGCGUGAGUGAUGAAGGUCUUCGGAUCGUAAAACUCUGUUAUUAGGGAAGAACAUAUGUGUAAGUAACUGUGCACAUCUUGACGGUACCUAAUCAGAAAGCCACGGCUAACGACGUG